rnacentral:lncRNA from 1 species
CAGAGCGAUCAGCGAGAUAUGAAGUGAACCGUCACUGCAAUUCAUAAAGCCUGUCAUCGGUUAGAGGGAUAGACGGCGAGCGCUGCCAAAUUGCGUCACUCUCACUGCAUGCCAAACGUCACCGUUGCUGUCACAGAUGUCAAAAAGAGAGUGGUGGUAAUACAGUACUCAAAGAGUUGAAAAUGAUGGACACACAGCGUGCUUUGCUGGCAGUGGAGCGGCUGCAGCAGAGACUGAAGAAGAGGGGAGAACUGCCUGCUGAGGAAAAACUCAGUCUGCUCAAGAGUGUCUUACAGAGUCCCCUGUUUAACCAGAUACUCAACAUGCAAGAGACUGGACAACAGCAUGAGAACCAACAGGUCAGACAUCAGCAUCAUCACAGUCCAUCACACAAAAAAGCAUACACUAACACUAAAAUAUGCCCAAACAUUAAACAGUGGGCUUUACCAUCAUUUAUAUAGCCUAUAUAAAUGUAUUAAAUUAAAUUCAGUAAAGAAAUGUCUCCUCAUAUUAUGUAAAAUAAAAAAUAGUUGGCUGAUAGUAGUUGCAUAAUUACUGUAUACAUUAUACAGCAUGAUUAUCUCAUUAACAUUAUAACUGAUCUUGUGAAAUGCAGAAUUGAACAAAAGUAUAUUUUAUGCUGAUAUCCAACUCCACUUCUAUUACCUGAAAUAGAAAUUUACAUGCACAUAUAUUUUAUAAGGCAUUUAUACAUCCAGGGAGCAUAAUUUCAGAUAUUCCCUGAUGUGAACAGUGCUUUGAUUCACCUCUUACAUCCUCUCUGGCUCUCUGGGUUUAUUAUUAGUUGAAAUAAAACAUGAAAUAAACCUUUCUUAAAGGAAUAUUUCAGAUCACACCCAAGUGACAACAUUUGUGGCAUAAUGUUGUCCCUCUUUGCGUUAAAAAAGAAAAAUUGUGGUAAGUGAUGCACUUAAAAUGAAAGUGAAUGGGGCCAGUCCACAGUUUGAUUCAAUAGUAAAACCAAA